rnacentral:misc_RNA from 1 species
GAUGAAGAACGCAGCGAAAUGCGAUAAGUAGUGUGAAUUGCAGAAUUCAGUGAAUCAUCGAAUCUUUGAACGCACAUUGCGCCCCCUGGUAUUCCAGGGGGCAUGCCUGUCCGAGCGUCAUUGCUGCCCUCAAGCACGGCUUGUGUGUUGGGCCCCGUCCCCUCCCCCGGGGACGGGCCCGAAAGGCAGCGGCGGCACCGCGUCCGAUCCUCGAGCGUAUGGGGCUUUGUCACCCGCUCUGUAGGCCCGGCCGGCGCCAGCCGACACCCAACUUUUAUUUCUAAGGUUGACCUCGGAUCAGGUAGGGAUACCCGCUGAACUUAAGCAUAUCAAUAAGCGGAGGA